rnacentral:rRNA from 1 species
UACGGGGGGGGCAAGCGUUGUUCGGAAUUACUGGGCGUAAAGGGCUGGUAGGCGGCCAACUAAGUCGGAUGUGAAAUCCCCAGGCUUAACCUGGGAACUGCAUCCGAUACUGGUCGGCUUGAAUCCGGGAGAGGGAUGCAGAAUUCCAGGUGUAGCGGUGAAAUGCGUAGAUAUCUGGAGGAAUACCGGUGGCGAAGGCGGCAUCCUGGACCGACAUUGACGCUGAUGAGCGAAAGCUAGGGGAGCAAACGGG